GGACCUCUGCAGGGAAACGAUCAACAACCAAUCCAACUGGGAACAGGAUCACAGCAUAGAUAAAUUCUGUUGGGGAAGUCGCUCCACCGGGGAAAUUAUCAAAGGGGAUGAUGGAUCUUCGUGGGGACACAACCACCAAUCAGGAGCUUCCAAGGUCACUAAACCAAGAGCUCACACCUGCUGAGGAGGAAGGAGGUUGAACACCUUUACCACACACUCUGCUCGGGAGAGGAAACCACAAAAG
rnacentral:lncRNA from 1 species